AGGUAAGCUACUAAGAGCGAAUGGUGGAUGCCUUGACUGGUAAAGGCGAUGAAGGACGUACUAGACUGCGAUAAGCUACGGGGAGCUGUCAAGAAGCUUUGAUCCGUAGAUUUCCGAAUGGGGCAACCCAAUGUAUAGAGAUAUGCAUUACCUAUAUAGGAGCGAACGAGGGGAAUUGAAACAUCUUAGUACCCUCAGGAAAAGAAAUCAAUAGAGAUUGCGUCAGUAGCGGCGAGCGAAAGCGCAAGAGGGCAAACCCAGUGCUUGCACUGGGGGUUGUAGGACUGCAAUGUGCAAGAGGUAAGUUUAGCAGAACAUUCUGGAAAGUAUAACCAUAGAGGGUGAUAGUCCCGUAUGCGAAAAACAAACCUUAGCUAGCAGUAUCCUGAGUAGGGCGGGACACGAGGAAUCCUGUCUGAAUCCGGGUCGACCACGAUCCAACCCUAAAUACUAAUACCAGAUCGAUAGUGCACAAGUACCGUGAGGGAAAGGUGAAAAGAACUGAGGUGAUCAGAGUGAAAUAGAACCUGAAACCAUUUGCUUACAAUCAUUCAGAGCCCUAUGUAGCAAUACAGGGUGAUGGACUGCCUUUUGCAUAAUGAGCCUGCGAGUUGUGGUGUCUGGCAAGGUUAAGCAAACGCGAAGCCGUAGCGAAAGCGAGUCUGAAUAGGGCGCUUAGUCAGAUGCUGCAGACCCGAAACGAAGUGAUCUAUCCAUGAGCAAGUUGAAGCUAGUGUAAGAACUAGUGGAGGACUGAACCCAUAGGCGUUGAAAAGCCCCGGGAUGACUUGUGGAUAGGGGUGAAAGGCCAAUCAAACUUCGUGAUAGCUGGUUCUCUCCGAAAUAUAUUUAGGUAUAGCGUUGUGUCGUAAUAUAAGGGGGUAGAGCACUGAAUGGGCUAGGGCAUACACCAAUGUACCAAACCCUAUCAAACUCCGAAUACCUUAUAUGUAAUCACAGCAGUCAGGCGGCGAGUGAUAAAAUCCGUCGUCAAGAGGGAAACAACCCAGACUACCAGCUAAGGUCCCUAAAUCUUACUUAAGUGGAAAACGAUGUGAAGUUACUUAAACAACCAGGAGGUUGGCUUAGAAGCAGCCAUCCUUUAAAGAAAGCGUAAUAGCUCACUGGUCUAGUGAUUUUGCGCGGAAAAUAUAACGGGGCUAAAGUAAGUACCGAAGCUGUAGACUUAGUUUACUAAGUGGUAGGAGAGCGUUCUAUUUGCGUCGAAGGUAUACCGGUAAGGAGUGCUGGAGCGAAUAGAAGUGAGCAUGCAGGCAUGAGUAGCGAUAAUUAAUGUGAGAAUCAUUAACGCCGUAAACCCAAGGUUUCCUACGCGAUGCUCGUCAUCGUAGGGUUAGUCGGGUCCUAAGUCGAGUCCGAAAGGGGUAGACGAUGGCAAAUUGGUUAAUAUUCCAAUACCAACAUUAGUGUGCGAUGGAAGGACGCUUAGGGCUAAGGGGGCUAGCGGAUGGAAGUGCUAGUCUAAGGUCGUAGGAGGUUAUACAGGCAAAUCCGUAUAACAAUACUCCGAGAACUGAAAGGCUUUUUGAAGUCUUCGGAUGGAUAGAAGAACCCCUGAUGCCGUCGAGCCAAGAAAAGUUUCUAAGUUUAGCUAAUGUUGCCCGUACCGUAAACCGACACAGGUGGGUGGGAUGAGUAUUCUAAGGCGCGUGGAAGAACUCUCUUUAAGGAACUCUGCAAAAUAGCACCGUAUCUUCGGUAUAAGGUGUGGUUAGCUUUGUAUUAGGAUUUACUCCGAAAGCAAGGAAACUUACAACAAAGAGUCCCUCCCGACUGUUUACCAAAAACACAGCACUCUGCUAACUCGUAAGAGGAUGUAUAGGGUGUGACGCCUGCCCGGUGCUCGAAGGUUAAUUGAUGGGGUUAGCAUUAGCGAAGCUCUUGAUCGAAGCCCGAGUAAACGGCGGCCGUAACUAUAACGGUCCUAAGGUAGCGAAAUUCCUUGUCGGUUAAAUACCGACCUGCAUGAAUGGCGUAACGAGAUGGGAGCUGUCUCAAAGAGGGAUCCAGUGAAAUUGUAGUGGAGGUGAAAAUUCCUCCUACCCGCGGCAAGACGGAAAGACCCCGUGGACCUUUACUACAGCUUGACACUGCUACUUGGAUAAGAAUGUGCAGGAUAGGUGG
rnacentral:rRNA from 1 species